rnacentral:rRNA from 1 species
GUAGGGAAUAUUGGGCAAUGGAGGCAACUCUGACCCAGCCAUGCCGCGUGCAGGAUGACGGCCCUCUGGGUUGUAAACUGCUUUUAUACGGGAAGAAAAAAUACUACGUGUAGUAUACUGACGGUACCGUAAGAAUAAGGAUCGGCUAACUCCGUGCCAGCAGCCGCGGUAAUACGGAGGAUCCAAGCGUUGUCCGGAGUUAUUGGGUUUAAAGGGUGCGUAGGCGGAUCUUUAAGUCAGUGGUGAAAGCCUGCAGCUUAACUGUAGAAUUGCCAUUGAAACUGAAGAUCUUGAAUGUGGUUAAAGUAGGCGGAAUGUAUCAUGUAGCGGUGAAAUGCUUAGAUAUGAUACAGAACACCGAUAGCGAAGGCAGCUUGCUGAACCAUUAUUGACGCUGAGGCACGAAAGCGUGGGGAGCGAACAGGAUUAGAAACCCUAGUAGUCC